GGGGUUGUAGCUCAGUGGUUGAGUGCUUGCCUCAAAUGCAUGAGGCACUGAGUUUGAUCCUCAGCACCA
rnacentral:tRNA from 1 species